CAACACUCUACUCUGCCUGCGGGUGGCCCAUCCACCCCAGGUAAUUCACCUAAAAACAAGCACGCUUUUCCUUCGGUGAAGAAGUUGCUAGAAAGCAAACAAGGACUGGUUAAAAGCUGUGUAAGAGAGAGUUAGGCCGCAUGACAGCGAGCUUCUCAAGAUACCUCCGAUUGGUUUUUUAGAAAGGGAUAGACCAUCUGAAUCUGACCCUAGUGGUCAGUGGCGAGGCAAUCCGCAGAAGUGAACGGAUCAAGAGCCCGGUGUGGCCAGCCGUGGCAUCUUUGGACCAGCAUCAUCCUGUGCCUUCAUUUGUGAUACAGAUAAGAACAUACGUAAACCUAUCCGGGUAGUGAAAAGAACAUACUCUACGAAACACACACACACAUAUCAACAACUUCUAUGGACUCUUUCUUUAUUUGAGUUUUUUAUUUUGAGUUUGUUGUGCGCUGUGCACCCAGGAAGCCUUUUUAGGUAGGCAGGGAUUGUAAAUAACUGCCAAUUUAUUUUGUAUAAUACAUUUUUUUCAAAUUCA